rnacentral:lncRNA from 12 species
CCCAUAUCAGCAGGACCCACCAGUGGGGAGCUGAGCCUGUACCCUGACCUGGCAUUCAUGAAGCAGAAAUAGGUGAUGUGAGCCUGGAGUCUGUCUUCGGAGUAGCCCUUGAUCUCACUGGACCGGCCAAAGGUGGUUCUCUGGGGCCUCCCACAUCCAGCCGCCUGAGGUUCCAGAUUCCGGGGGCCAGAGGAGCCCCUCCUCUGCGACUCACGCUACCUGCACCUGAGAUGCCUCUACUCACGCCGGUGCAUUGGAGCGCUACAGGUAAUUGACCAU